AGUUCUCGUUGAUGAUCGGUGCUUGCACCGAGAUUCAACAUGGAACGAGUGGCGGACGGGUGAGUAACACGUGGGUAACCUGCCCUUAAGUGGGGGAUAACAUUUGGAAACAGAUGCUAAUACCGCAUAGAUCCAAGAACCGCAUGGUUCUUGGCUGAAAGAUGGCGUAAGCUAUCGCUUUUGGAUGGACCCGCGGCGUAUUAGCUAGUUGGUGAGGUAAUGGCUCACCAAGGCGAUGAUACGUAGCCGAACUGAGAGGUUGAUCGGCCACAUUGGGACUGAGACACGGCCCAAACUCCUACGGGAGGCAGCAGUAGGGAAUCUUCCACAAUGGACGCAAGUCUGAUGGAGCAACGCCGCGUGAGUGAAGAAGGCUUUCGGGUCGUAAAACUCUGUUGUUGGAGAAGAAUGGUCGGCAGAGUAACUGUUGUCGGCGUGACGGUAUCCAACCAGAAAGCCACGGCUAACUACGUGCCAGCAGCCGCGGUAAUACGUAGGUGGCAAGCGUUAUCCGGAUUUAUUGGGCGUAAAGCGAGCGCAGGCGGUUUUUUAAGUCUGAUGUGAAAGCCCUCGGCUUAACCGAGGAAGCGCAUCGGAAACUGGGAAACUUGAGUGCAGAAGAGGACAGUGGAACUCCAUGUGUAGCGGUGAAAUGCGUAGAUAUAUGGAAGAACACCAGUGGCGAAGGCGGCUGUCUGGUCUGUAACUGACGCUGAGGCUCGAAAGCAUGGGUAGCGAACAGGAUUAGAUACCCUGGUAGUCCAUGCCGUAAACGAUGAAUGCUAGGUGUUGGAGGGUUUCCGCCCUUCAGUGCCGCAGCUAACGCAUUAAGCAUUCCGCCUGGGGA
rnacentral:rRNA from 1 species